rnacentral:rRNA from 1 species
UACGUAGGGUGCAAGCGUUUGUCCGGAAUUAUUGGGCGUAAAGAGCUCGUAGGCGGUUUGUCGCGUCGAAUGUGAAAACCCGGGGCUCAACCCCGGGCCUGCAUUCGAUACGGGCAGACUAGAGUUCGGUAGGGGAGUCUGGAAUUCCUGGUGUAGCGGUGAAAUGCGCAGAUAUCAGGAGGAACACCGGUGGCGAAGGCGGGACUCUGGGCCGAUACUGACGGCUGAGGAGCGAAAGCGUGGGGAGCAAACAGG